UUUUUUUUUUUUUUUUUUUACUUCCCACUUUCCCAACAAUAACAAAGAACACCUUUUCCCCUCUCUAGUUUCCUUUUUAUUUUUUUUUAUCUUCUGAAUGCAUGUGCAAUAUUUUGCAAAUGGAGUAAGUUCAACUGUUUGAUAUCUUAGCUUGGGAAAUGCGAUACAUGUAGUUCUCAAGCACAGUUAUAAAAUCAUAACAUGGUGCCUAUUAAAUUCUUAUUGGUUUUCCUCCUAACUUUUGAAGUGAUUUCGUUUGCAACAGCCCAAAUGACAUUUCCUAUGUCUUUUCUGGAUAUGCACCACUAAGUAUUCGUCUUGUUCAGCAUGCUGUUCGUUCUGGAUGGCGUCCCAUGGAAGAAAUUUUGAAGUUGUUGCCUGGACCACACUCGGAAACAAAGAGAGUCUGUUUACUUACUCUUCCGGCUUCUCAUUUCUGUCUUUAUAUUUUGAUAACUGGCAGUAUUAAUACCUUGUACUACUUUUUCAGGUUGGAUUCUCAAGCAGUCCAUCUUUUGACACAUUACACAGGUCUUCAGAAGCUGCAGACAGGUAUAUCUAAAUUCCUUCUGUGUUCUUUUGUUCUGCUUAAGCUACAUUUCUAGUUUGUGGAUAUUGCCAUUUUUUUGGUGGGUAUCAUUAUCAAAAUUCCCCAUAAAUGCAGAAAUAUCCAUGUCCCAUGACUGGCAAGAACUAUUGAUAAUGGUUAUAGAACCAUGAAAUCCUUGUUCAUGGAACUGAGUGUCAAUCCUCUAUUCAUUGUUGUUAUACAAAUUCAUUUCCAACUUGUAUCAUGCAACAUUUAGAUCUUCAUUUAUUUUUCCGUGCUAUAACACUAUUAAACAUCUCAGAUUAGUAGCUGACGGAAGACGCUCCCUUGUACUUGUUGUAUUUAUUGGAGGGGUUACAUUUGCAGAAAUUUCUGCUCUCCGAUUUCUUAGUGCUCAGGAAGGGAUGGCAUAUGAUAUGAUUAUUGGAACAACAAAUAUUGUCAAUGGCAAUACCUUGGCAGAGGCAUAUGUAGAGCAUUUGGUUUGAUUAUUUGAUUUUAAAUUGCUUUCCAAUUUCAUACUUUGAAGUGAAAAUUGAUUUGUGACCUACAGAACUUGGAAAUUAGACUUGCUAAAAUUCACGUGGGAGAUUUUGAAAUUCGAUUAUUUUGUGGUGAAACAAUUUGCCCCCUUCAUGGAGUUUCCUAGUGAGCUCAAUGGAACCAAGAGUUUUUAUAAAUCAGAUGGGUUUGAUUUUAACAAGUAUUGUACUUGGUUUUUAUUUGCAAAUAAUCUUCUACAGAGAUGUUAAAUUGAAGAUGUAGUGCAAGUAAAGCAGGCUCAUAAUGUAAUCUUUGUUUUAUGCCUCUACGAUUUUUU
rnacentral:misc_RNA from 1 species